CUCUCUUUCACCCUCAUGGUACUUCCUGUAUUCUGUUUCAAUACUUCCAGACCUAGGCUAACGUGGUGGAUGGUGGAGAGGCUGGAGACUGACUCCCCAACCCCACAAAAUGAUUGGGGCUGAAGUGGACAAAUGAAGCAACUGAAUCUUGAAAACGGGCUGAAAUGAAACAUACCGGACCUGAGCACACAGGAAAGUAGGGGGUGGAGUUGGAAGCUCGGGAGCCCAUGCUGGAACACGAGGCAGUUG